AUGGUUGUAGCAGCCAAAGAUUGUUCUAUAGUCAAGGAUGUUGGAAGUGUGGCCAAAGUUACUGGAAGGGUUGUUGUGGUUUCAGCCAUAGUAGAUGUUGGAUUGUUUGUUGUUGUGGAAACCAAAGUUUUAGUUGCCUCAACAAUAAUACCAUUUGUUAGAAGUGCUGAUGUUUUUUCAGGCAUAGUUGUAGUUGGUGUAUCGGUUGUUGAUGUUGGAGCUACAGUAGAGAAUGUUGAAAGGGUACUUCUGGUAGCCAAAGUUGUUGUUGUUGCACCAAUCGUUGUUGGAAGUACCACUGUUAUUUCAGGAAUAGCUGUGGUUGCUGAAUCAGUUGUCAACAAUUGUGCUACAGUUGAGGAUGUUGGAGGAGUGCUUGUGUUAACCAAAUUUGCUGUUGUUGCACCAAUAUUUGUUGUUGUGUCAGCCAUAGUUGUGGUUGUCAAAGUUGUUGCUGUUGCACCAAUACUUGUUGUGGUGUCAGCCAUAGUUUUGGCUGCCACAUCAAAUGUUGACGUUGGUGGUAUAACUGAUGGUAUUGGCGGGGUGCUUGUGUUGGCCAAAUUUGUUGUUGCACCAGUAAUUGUUGUGGUGUCAGCCAUAGUUGUGGUUGCUGCAUCAGCUGUCAACAUUGGUUCUACAAGUGAAGAUGUUGCAAGGGUGCUUGUGUUAACCAAAGUUGUUGGUGUUGCAUUAAUAGGCUUUGUUGGAAGAACUGUUGUCGUUCCAAGCAUAGUAGUGGUUGCUGCAUCAGAUUUUGAGAACUGUGCUACAGUUGAGGAUAUUGGAGGAGUGCUUGUGGUAGUCAAAGUUGAUGUUUUUGAAUCAAUAUUUGUUGUGGUGUCAGCCAUAGUUGUGGAAGCAGCAUCAGAUGUUGACAUUGGUGCUAGAACAGAUAAUGUAGACAAAGCUGUUGUUGCACCAACAGUUGUUGCUGGAUGGACUUUUUUUGUUUCAGGAAUAGUUGUGACUGCCGCACCAGUAGUCAAAGUUGGUGCAAAAGAUGAGGAUGCUGGAGGAGCACUUGUAAUAGUCAAAGUUGUUGUUGUUGCACCAAUAGUUGUUUUUGAAAAUACCAUUGAUGUUUCAGGCAAAGUUCUGAUUGUUGCAUCAGAUGUCAUUGUUGGUGCUAGAACAAAUUUUGUUGUUGCACCAAAAGUUUUUGUUGGAAGAACUGUUUCUUUUUCAGCCAUAGUUGCGUUUGCUGCAUCAGUUGUCAAUGUUGGUGCUACAGAUGAGGACACUGGAGGGGUACUUUUGGCAGCCAAAGCUGUUGCACUAAUAGUUGUUUUGGAAAGUACUGUUGUUGUUUUAGGUGAAGUUGUGGUUGCUGCAUCAGUUGUUGAUUUUGGUGCUAUAUUUGAGGAUGUUGAAGGGAUGGUUGUGUCAGUCAACUUUUGUGCUAUAGAUAAGGAUGUUGGAGAUGUGGCCAAAUUUGCUAUUGUCUCGCCAGUAGCUGUAUUUGGAAGAUAUGUUGUGGUUUCAGCCGCAGUAAUUGUUGUAGGAUUGUUUGUUGUUGUGGAAACCAAAGUUGUAGUUGUCUCAACAAUAGUAGCAUUUGUUGGAAACACUGUUGUUAUUUCAGACAUAGUUGUGACUGCUGCAUCAAUAGUAUUUGUUGUUGUUGUUGUUGUUGUAUUUGCACCAGUAUGUGUUGUAUGUUCAGGCAAAGUUGUGGUUGCUACAUUAGAUGAGGACUCUAGAGGGGUGCUAGUGAUAGCCAAGGUUGUUGUUUCAUGA
ensembl:lncRNA